UACAGAGGUCCCAAGCGUUGUUCGGAUUCAUUGGGCGUAAAGGGUGCGUAUUUGGCGCGCUCCUUCCGGUGUGAAAUCUCGGGGCUUAACUCCGAAACUGCAUUUGAUACUGCGGUGCUUGAGGACUGGAGAGGAGACUGGAAUUUACGGUGUAGCAGUGAAAUGCGUAGAGAUCGUAAGGAAGACCAGUGGCGAAGGCGGGUCUCUGGACAGUUCCUGACACUGAGGCACGAAGGCCAGGGGAGCAAACGGG
rnacentral:rRNA from 1 species